UACGGGGGGGGCAAGCGUUGUUCGGAAUUACUGGGCGUAAAGGGCUCGUAGGUGGCCAACUAAGUCAGACGUGAAAUCCCUCGGCUUAACCGGGGAACUGCGUCUGAUACUGGAUGGCUUGAGUUUGGGAGAGGGACGCGGAAUUCCAGGUGUAGCGGUGAAAUGCGUAGAUAUCUGGAGGAACACCGGUGGCGAAGGCGGGUUGCUGGGCUGACACUGACGCUGAGGCGCGAAAGCCAGGGGAGCGAACGGG
rnacentral:rRNA from 1 species